rnacentral:snRNA from 1 species
GGGCAAAGAAAAAAUAGAAACU